GAAAAAAAGCCUGUACAUGUUCAGUACAGAGGCAACCAUCCAUUUUUCUCCCCAAAUAUUUUCCAUCCUUGGUUGGUUGAAUCCACAGAUGCGGAACUAGCAGUAUCUGAAUUAAUAGUAGAAAUAAGAUUGUAAAUAAAUGGUAAAACAUUAUAGCCAUAACCCUGCCCUUAUCCUCACCCUCAUAUUGAACCUGACCUAGAGCUGACCCUGAACUUGAGCCUCACCUCUAGCCUCAUCUUGCCCCUGAUCAUAAUGGACACCUUGCCCUCACAAUGACCCUGACUCUCACACUGACAUUGCCUCUCAUUCUCAUUCUUAUA
rnacentral:lncRNA from 1 species